AACGUAGGAGACAAACGUUAUCCGGAGUUACUGGGCGUAAAGGGCGUGUAGGUGGUUUCGUAAGUCUGGCGUGAAAUCCCCGGGCUCAACCUGGGAACUGCAUUUGAAACUAUUAAGCUAGAGUGUGGUAGAGGGAAGUGGAAUUUCCGGUGUAGCGGUGAAAUGCGUAGAUAUGCGGAGGAACACCGAUGGCGAAGGCAAUCCCCUGGGCCUGCACUGACGCUCAUGCACGAAAGCGUGGGGAGCAAACAGG
rnacentral:rRNA from 1 species